AAACUUUUAAUCCUCUUCUCCCUUAAAAAGUCAGCCUCUGCAACAUUAGUAUUUCUCUCGCUGCCAAAAACAUCUUCCCCUCUCUCUCUAUCUCAGUUUCCUUUUCGAAAUUUAUACAUAGCCUGAUUUUCGUUUCCCAUUUCCGUUGUUUCUAAACGGCUUCUUCCCCUCUUAAAUAUUUAUCCAUUUCCUUUUACUCCAAGCUUUCCAUUUUUAUAUUAUUUUGAGUUACGUUUUGCUCAAAUAGCAGUUAACACUUUGCUUCUUUUAAUUAUGUUGGCAAGAAUUCAAGGUUAAUCAUAGCCCCACAAAGGUAGAGUUAAGGUUUACGUACAUCCUAUCUUCCCCAGACGCACUUGUGAGAUUACACUAGCCGAGGGUUUUUCGGAAACAGCCUCCUUACCUUCCAAGGUGGGGAUAAGGUCUGCGUACACUUUACCCUCCCCAGACCCCACAUUGUGGGAUUCAACUGGGUAUGUUGUUGUU